UACGUAGGCAGCAAGCGUUGUUCGGAAUUACUGGGCGUAAAGAGUGUGUAGGCGGUGUUCUAAGUUUGUCGUGAAAUCUCUCGGCUUAACUGGGAGGGUGCGGCGAAAACUGGAAUGCUAGAGGAUGGGAGAGGUAAGCGGAAUUCCUGGUGUAGCGGUGAAAUGCGUAGAUAUCAGGAGGAACACCUGUGGUGUAGACAGCUUACUGGACCAUUUCUGACGCUGAGACACGAAAGCGUGGGUAGCAAACAGG
rnacentral:rRNA from 1 species